UACGAAGGGGGCUAGCGUUGCUCGGAAUCACUGGGCGUAAAGGGUGCGUAGGCGGGUCUUUAAGUCAGGGGUGAAAUCCUGGAGCUCAACUCCAGAACUGCCUUUGAUACUGCAGAUCUUGAGUUCGGGAGAGGUGAGUGGAACUGCGAGUGUAGAGGUGAAAUUCGUAGAUAUUCGCAAGAACACCAGUGGCGAAGGCGGCUCACUGGCCCGAUACUGACGCUGAUGCACGAAAGCGUGGGGAGCAAACAGG
rnacentral:rRNA from 1 species